UAUCUCUGGUUUUCCUUCAACACGUAUAAAUCUUUCGCCUUUUACUAAAGAUUUCCGUGGAGGGGAACACUCAAAUGAGUCUUUCAUAUUUUUGAGAGUCUUGCUUUUUGCAAGACU
rnacentral:snRNA from 1 species